rnacentral:rRNA from 1 species
UACAGAGGUCUCAAGCGUUGUUCGGAUUCAUUGGGCGUAAAGGGUGUGUAGGUGGCGCCGUAAGUCGGGUGUGAAAUUUCGGAGCUUAACUCCGAAACUGCAUUCGAUACUGCGGUGCUUGAGGACUGGAGAGGAGACUGGAAUUCAUGGUGUAGCAGUGAAAUGCGUAGAGAUCAUGAGGAAGACCAGUGGCGUAGGCGGGUCUCUGGACAGUUCCUGACACUGAGACACGAAGGCCAGGGGAGCAAACGGG